CAGAAGACACAACAGCUCUGUUUCAGGAAUUAUACUUACAGAAUGGAAUCAUAAAAGACUUAUUCGGGAAAGCUGCAGAGGCAAUUAAGAAGGUCAAUAAGGUAAUGUAGCAU